UACGGAGGAUGCGAGCGUUAUCCGGAUUUAUUGGGUUUAAAGGGUGCGCAGGCGGCGUGUCAAGUCAGCGGUAAAAUGUCGGGGCUCAACCCCGGCCGGCCGUUGAAACUGGCGUGCUCGAGUUGGAGAGAAGUAUGCGGAAUUCGUGGUGUAGCGGUGAAAUGCAUAGAUAUCGCGAAGAACCCCGAUUGCGAAGGCAGCAUACCGGCUCCACACUGACGCUGAGGCACGAAAGCGUGGGUAUCGAACAGG
rnacentral:rRNA from 1 species